rnacentral:rRNA from 1 species
AUGGUGGGCACUCCAACAAUAUCCGUUGCUAUGGUUCUCGUCGUGCUUGCCCUCAUGUCUUAUGGGCUCCCCUCAGCACAUGCCGAUGUCGCCUUCAUAUCCAACACAUGCAAGAAAACCAAGAACCCCGCGUUGUGCGAGGAUGUGCUGAGCUACCAUGAAAAUAGCACCCAGGCCUCCACCGUGCAUGAGCUCGCCAGCAUUGCGCUGGAGAUAGCCACCGCCAUCGCAAAAUUCAACAGCAAGAACUUCGGAGUCGGGGCCAGAUACAACCAGGGCACACCCGUGGAGGACGCUCUGGACGUUUGCCUCCAGGCCUACGAUGAUGCUAUAGAUAACCUCAAGGUCCUUGCCAAACAUAGUCUCCAUGUGGGGGACUAUGCCGAUGCGUUGAGGAAGGUGUUGGACGCUAAGGCUGCCGGUGAUGUGUGCGAUAAUGCGCUCAAGCGGAUCAAAGAGGAUUUCGCUGUUGAAAGUGAUCGCAAAAUGACGGAGCGAUGUGGCGUCACUGCUGAACUAAUCGGGCUUCUUAUCCACAAGUGA